rnacentral:rRNA from 1 species
GAUGAACGCUGGCGGCGUGCCUAAUACAUGCAAGUCGAGCGAACAGACGAGGAGCUUGCUCCUCUGACGUUAGCGGCGGACGGGUGAGUAACACGUGGAUAACCUACCUAUAAGACUGGGAUAACUUCGGGAAACCGGAGCUAAUACCGGAUAAUAUAUUGAACCGCAUGGUUCAAUAGUGAAAGACGGUUUUGCUGUCACUUAUAGAUGGAUCCGCGCCGCAUUAGCUAGUUGGUAAGGUAACGGCUUACCAAGGCAACGAUGCGUAGCCGACCUGAGGGGGUGUUCGGCCACCCUGGAACUGGGACACGGUCCAGACUCCUACGGGAGGCAGCAGUAGGGAAUCUUCCGCAAUGGGCGAAAGCCUGACGGAGCAACGCCGCGUGAGUGAUGAAGGUCUUCGGAUCGUAAAACUCUGUUAUUAGGGAAGAACAAAUGUGUAAGUAACUAUGCACGUCUUGACGGUACCUAAUCAGAAAGCCACGGCUAACUACGUG